GCCGGGAACAGUGGCACGUGCCUGUAGUCCCAGCUACUUGGGAGGCUGAGGUGGGAGGAUGGCUUGAGUCCAGGAAUUUUGGGCUGUAGUACACUAUGCUGAUCGGGUGUCCGCACUAAGUUUGGCAUCAAUAUGGUGACCUCCCAGGAGCGGGGGACCACCAGGUUGCCUAAGCGGGGGUGAACCAGCCUAGGUCAGAAAUGGAGCAGGUCAAAACUGCUGUGCUGAUCGGUAGUGGGAUCAUGCCUGUGAAUAGCCACUGCACUGCAGCCUGAGCAACAAAGCAAGACCCCAUCUCU
rnacentral:SRP_RNA from 1 species